rnacentral:tRNA from 1 species
GCUGUGAUGGCCGAGUGGUUAAGGCGUUGGACUUGAAAUCCAAUGGGGUUUCCCCGCGCAGGUUCGAACCUUGCUCUAAGCG